AUUGAACGCUGGCGGCAGGCUUAACACAUGCAAGUCGAGCGGGGUGAUGGUGCUUGCACUAUCACUUAGCGGCGGACGGGUGAGUAAUGCUUAGGAAUCUGCCUAUUAGUGGGGGACAACAUCUUGAAAGGGAUGCUAAUACCGCUUACGUCCUACGGGAGAAAGCAGGGGAUCACUUGUGACCUUGCGCUAAUAGAUGAGCCUAAGUCGGAUUAGCUAGUUGGUGGGGUAAAGGCCUACCAAGGCGACGAUCUGUAGCGGGUCUGAGAGGAUGAUCCGCCACACUGGGACUGAGACACGGCCCAGACUCCUACGGGAGGCAGCAGUGGGGAAUAUUGGACAAUGGGGGGAACCCUGAUCCAGCCAUGCCGCGUGUGUGAAGAAGGCCUUAUGGUUGUAAAGCACUUUAAGCGAGGAGGAGGCUCUUUUGGUUAAUACCCAAGAUGAGUGGACGUUACUCGCAGAAUAAGCACCGGCUAACUCUGUGCCAGCCGCCGCAGUAA
rnacentral:rRNA from 1 species